UCCUCCUUGCCCUCCUCCUCUUCUCUUAAAGUAUUUACUUGUGCAUAUGUCUGUGUGAGUGUGUGUACACCUGUGUCUAUAUGUAUCACUCCCCACCUGUUCCUUUGAAGCAGGGUCUCUCCCUGAACCUGGGGUUUGUGUUUUCUAAGCUAUGUUGGAAACCAGUAGACCCCAGUGAUCCUCUUGCCUCUUACCCCCUCAGAGUUGGGGUCACAGGUGUACAAAGAAGUCCCAAGUUACUAUGUGGAUGCUGGGAUCUGAACCCUGGUUUUCAUGAUGGUACAGCAUAUCCUCUUAAUGACUGAGUCAUCUCACCUGCUCAAAGCAACCCUGACCCUCUCUCUCCUCGAUACAGGCCGCAUGUAUUCCAGGCUGACUUUAAACUUGCUAUGUCACCGAGGAUGACCUUGGAUUUCUCCUGUCCCUAUCUCCCAAAUGAUAGGAUCACAGGUCUACAUUAUCACAUCCAGUUCUUUUCAUUCUUUCAGCAGUGAUUCUGCAAAGCAGACGUGUGGUUCGGGUGUGAAAUGCCUCCCACAGGUUCAUGUAUUUAAACACCUAGCUCCCACCUGGGGGCAUUGUUUUGGAGGUUGCAGCUUUAGCAGAGAGGUGAGCCAGCCAUCUCGUGUUCCUGCUGAUGCAGCGAUAAGCUGCCCCCACUGCCGUGAGGGGCUGGGUGCUCCCACUGCCACGAUGGGCUGGGUGCUCCCACUGCCACGAGGGGCUGGGUGCUCCCACUGCCACGAUGGGCUGGGUGCUCCCACUGCCGUGAGGGGCUGGGUGCUCACACAAAUCGCUCCUUUCUUGAGUUGUCUCUGUCAGGCAUUUUGUCACAGAAACAGGUGAGGUGACUAAUACAACAGAAGUUUUUGUUUUAA